rnacentral:tRNA from 1 species
UCCUAGCUGGCUCAGUCGGUAGAGCAUGCGACUCUUGAUCUCAGGAUUGUGAGUUCAAGGCCCAUGUUGGGCG